rnacentral:rRNA from 1 species
CCUACGGGAGGCAGCAGUCGAGAAUCAUUCACAAUGGGGGAAACCCUGAUGGUGCGACGCCGCGUGGGGGAAUGAAGGUCUUCGGAUUGUAAACCCCUGUCAUGUGGGAGCAAAUUAAAAAGAUAGUACCACAAGAGGAAGAGACGGCUAACUCUGUGCCAGCAGCCGCGGUAAUACAGAGGUCUCAAGCGUUGUUCGGAAUCACUGGGCGUAAGGCGUGCGUAGGCUGUUUCGUAAGUCGUGUGUGAAAGGCGCGGGCUCAACCCGCGGACGGCACAUGAUACUGCGAGACUAGAGUAAUGGAGGGGGAACCGGAAUUCUCGGUGUAGCAGUGAAAUGCGUAGAUAUCGAGAGGAACACUCGUGGCGAAGGCGGGUUCCUGGACAUUAACUGACGCUGAGGCACGAAGGCCAGGGGAGCGAAAGGGAUUAGAUACCCCGAGUAGUC